GUGAGGAAUAUUGGACAAUGGAUGGAAAUCUGAUCCAGCCAUGCCGCGUGCAGGAAGACGGCCCUAUGGGUUGUAAACUGCUUUUGUAUGGGAGCAAUAAGGGCUACGUGUAGUCCGAUGAGAGUACCAUACGAAUAAGGACCGGCUAACUCCGUGCCAGCAGCCGCGGUAAUACGGAGGGUCCGAGCGUUAUCCGGAUUUAUUGGGUUUAAAGGGUGAGUAGGCGGUUUGAUAAGUCAGCGGUGAAAUUUUCCGGCUCAACCGGGAUACUGCCGUUGAUACUGUAAGGCUAGGAUAUGGUUGCUGUGGGUGGAAUGUGUGGUGUAGCGGUGAAAUGCUUAGAGAUCACAGAAUAUCGAUUGCGAAGGCAGCUCACAAAGCCAUUAUUGACGCUGAGGCACGAAAGUGUGGGGAUCAAACAGGAUUAGAAACCCGGGUAGUCC
rnacentral:rRNA from 1 species